AUCGCUUCUUGGCCUUUUGGCUAAGAUCAAGUGUAGUAACUGGUGAGUGGGAAAGGCAAGAUUUGAAUCCAGAUCUGAGGCUAAAAAUGGUCUUCAUAAUUUCAUCAUUAAUCUGAAAAAUAAUCACCACACAGAUUUAUUGGUGAACUGGUCAAGGUGGUAAAAAUACAUUUCUCUUUAUUCUUACAUCUAAAUUCC